rnacentral:rRNA from 1 species
GCGAACGCUGGCGGCAGGCUUAACACAUGCAAGUCGAGCGGGCAUCCUUGUGGUGUCAGCGGCAGACGGGUGAGUAACGCGUGGGAACGUGCCCUUCGGUUCGGAAUAACUCAGGGAAACUUGAGCUAAUACCGGAUACGUGCGAGAGCAGAAAGGUUUAUCUGCCGAAGGAUCGGCCCGCGUCUGAUUAGCUAGUUGGUGAGGUUAUGGCUCACCAAGGCGACGAUCAGUAGCUGGUCUGAGAGGAUGAUCAGCCACACUGGGACUGAGACACGGCCCAGACUCCUACGGGAGGCAGCAGUGGGGAAUAUUGGACAAUGGGGGCAACCCUGAUCCAGCCAUGCCGCGUGAGUGAUGACGGCCUUAGGGUUGUAAAGCUCUUUUCUUCGGGACGAUAAUGGCGGUACCGGAGGAAUAAGCCCCGGCUAACUUCGUG